rnacentral:rRNA from 1 species
AACGAACGCUGGCGGCAUGCCUAACACAUGCAAGUCGAACGAGAUCUUCGGGUCUAGUGGCGCACGGGUGCGUAACGCGUGGGAAUCUGCCCUUUGGUUCGGAAUAACAGUUGGAAACGACUGCUAAUACCGGAUGAUGACGAAAGUCCAAAGAUUUAUCGCCAGAGGAUGAGCCCGCGUAGGAUUAGCAAGUUGGGGUGGUAAAGGCGCACCAAGGCGACGAUCCUUAGCUGGUCUGAGAGGAUGAUCAGCCACACUGGGACUGAGACACGGCCCAGACUCCUACGGGAGGCAGGAGUGGGGAAUAUUGGACAAUGGGCGAAAGCCUGAUCCAGCAAUGCCGCGUGAGUGAUGAAGGCCUUAGGGUUGUAUAGCUCUUUUACCCGGGAUGAUAAUGACAGUACCGGGAGAAUAAGCUCCGGCUAACUCCGUGCCAGCAGCCGCGGUAA